rnacentral:rRNA from 1 species
UGGGGAAUUUUCCGCAAUGGGCGAAAGCCUGACGGAGCAAUACCGCGUGGAGGUGGAAGGCCUACGGGUCGUCAACUUCUUUUCUCGGAGAAGAAACAAUGACGGUAUCUGAGGAAUAAGCAUCGGCUAACUCUGUGCCUG